CACCUCCCUUGUUCUUUUUUAUAAUGGCAAUGGCACCCACCUCAAUUCUGGAAAGUUCACACAGGGGGGAAAGCUGUGUUUCUCACUACCUCAACAACAAUUCUCAAGUCCCUCCUGGCCAGGCCUCACUUGAGGCCCAGAGCACCAUGGUGCCCCUCAAUGUGAUCUCCCACCACAGCCUAUCGCAAUUUUAUUUAAAACUUCAGUGCACUUAAUCAAAGGGACACUUGCAGCCUAAUCCAUUUUGUUUUAAAAUCCAAUCAAUUAUCUUGGUCCUUUUAAAACAGGCCAAAUGUCUGCAAUAUCAGGUUGCUCAGCUUGGGUUUUUUCUAAUAGCCUUAGGAGGUAUGUGUGUGUGGUAAAAAAAACCUUUGAUUUUUUUAAAAAAAGCAUUUGUCGUUUGCUUCUCCCCCUCGCAGAAGUGUUUGUGGUGAGAUUGUUCCAAAAUUAAAGAGCUAUGGACAAUGGGUUUUCAUAUAAAAACCAAGAAGGCAGCCUAUCCACCUUCUUCUUUAGCGCUUUUGAAUUUAUGAGUGGACACUGAUAGGGAAUUGAAAAAUAAAGAACUUAUUUCACAUCGCC